UACGUAGGGGGCAAGCGUUGUCCGGAAUCAUUGGGCGUAAAGAGCGUGUAGGCGGCCAGAAAAGUCCGCUGUGAAAACUCGAGGCUCAACUUCGAGCUGUCGGUGGAAACUUUCUGGCUAGAGUCCGGAAGAGGAGAGUGGAAUUCCUGGUGUAGCGGUGAAAUGCGCAGAUAUCAGGAGGAACACCAAUGGCGAAGGCAGCUCGCUGGGACGGUACUGACGCUGAGACGCGAAAGCGUGGGGAGCAAACAGG
rnacentral:rRNA from 1 species